GACGAACGCUGGCGGCGUGCCUAAUACAUGCAAGUCGAACGCAGUGGGGACGGGUGAGUAACAAGUGGGUAACCUCCCAUCAGAGGGGAUAACACUUGGAAACAGGUGCUAAACCGAUACUGAUGGAUGGACCCGCGGUGCAUUUGCUAGUUGGGGGGGAAACGGCUCACCAAGGCCAGGAUGCAUAGCCGACCUGAGAGGGGGACCGGCCAACCUGGGACGGAGAAACGGCCCAGACUCCUACGGGAGGCAGCGGUAGGGAAUUUUCGGCAAUGGACGAAAGUCUGACCGAGCAACGCGGCGUGAGUGAAGAAGGUUUUCGGAUCGUAAACCUCUGUUGUUAGGGAAGCGGUAUCUAACCAGAAAGCCACGGCUAACUACGUGCCAGCAGCCGCGGUAAUAC
rnacentral:rRNA from 1 species